ACAAACAGCAAAAGCAGAAGUCGGUGGCAGUGAAUUAGCAGUUGGGGACUGUAGAAAAUCCAUACAGGAAGCAAAACAGAAGAGAAAUCUCAGGCCACGGGGACUGAGGACGCUGAGAGGGCGCUUUUGAAAUAGAUGAAGCUCAUCGAGUGUGCAAUAGCUGCGGGCUGGGACGGCCGCCCAUGGGAAGGAGGGCAGGCACCGGGCUCCGCCGACCGCUCCUCCGUGCUCAGGAAAAGAGCCAGAAGGUGCAAUUAUGCAUAAAGGGACAGCAGGAGGAAUUCAAAACCAGUUUUUAAGUGCAUCCGCCUCGCUGGAGCCACGGCAAUGAAUGGGCACGCUCUGCCGGCCGGCACGCCAGCGCAUCCCCGGGGCUGGCAUGAGUUCUGCGAGCUGCAUGCCAUCAGCACGGCCAAGGAGCUGGCGCGGCACUACCUGCGCUUCGCCACCGAGCACCCGCACCAUGACCUCCUGGCCGCAGAGAACUUCUCGGUGCAGUUCACCGACCUCUUCCAGCAGUACUUCUGCCAUGAGGUGAAGGAGGGAUUCGCCAUGAACCAGCUCCGCAUCCUCCCCGCCGGCCCCGCGCGGGAUUACCGGGAGACGCACCGGCGCCACACGGAUGCCUCCUUGGGCACGGUGGCCACCAAAGCCGAGGCGGAUCCAGGCUCUGAGCAGCCCGGCCGAGCUCCCGAAGCCGCCCCGUCAGGGCUCCGCAAGUCCUGGAGUUCGGAGGAGCUGCUGGGGCCGGCACGGAGGCCGUUCUCGCUCAGCCAGCUGCGCAGGAGCUGGCGCAGCCUCUUCCGACGCCGGUCCUCGGAUGCUCUCCCUGCGGAUGGGGAUGGGGAGGCGGCGGAGGCAGCGCUGAAGCCGGGAUUGGGGAAGCGCAUCCUGCCGUGGGGGCUGUCGCGGGAGCAGCCCCCCGAGGUGCGCAAGGAGGGGAUCCUCAAGUACGGGCUGCUGGAUGAGAGCUCCUUGGACAGUGGGACGCGCUGGCAGCGCUGCCGCCUGGUGCUGCGGCGAGCGGGGACCUCUGAUGGCGAGGAGUAUGUGCUGGAGCUCUUCGACCCACCCAAGGGCUCCAAGCCGAAGCUGCACGCUGCCUGCUCCGCCGUGCAGGAGGUGAGGAGGUGCACACGCCUCGAGAUGCCCGAUAACCUGCACACCUUCGUCCUCAAGGUCACCAAUGCCACCGACAUCCUGUUUGAGGCAGGGGAUGAGCAGCAGCUCAGCUCCUGGACGGCCGAGAUCCGGGAAUGUGCACACAGGGGGUCUGACACGGGUGACCCCGAGCUGCUGGCGUGCUGGCACCCCAAUCCUGCAGCCGCCAGCCCCACCACCAGCACGGACACCCAGGGCCAAGCAGGGGCGAUGCCAGGGGCCCCGGGGGAGGCAGCGGGGCCGAAGAUGGAGCAGUUCCUCUCCUCCUGCCCCUGGUUCCAUGGGCCCAUCUCCCGCGUGAAGGCAGCUCACCUGGUGCAGGUGGGGGGGCUGGAGGGACACGGCGUCUUCCUGGUGCGGCAGAGCGAGACGCGCCGCGGCGAGUACGUGCUCACCUUCAACUUCCAGGGCAGAGCAAAGCACCUGCGGCUGGCACUGACAGAGCGGGGCCAGUGCCGCGUCCAGCACCUUCGCUUCUCCUCCAUCGUGGAGAUGCUGCAGCACUUCCAUCGCUACCCCAUCCCACUGGAGUGCGGCACAGCCUGCGAUGUCCGGCUGUCCAGCUACGUCGUCGUCCUGCCCCAGCCACAAGCUCCUGGCUCCAGCACCACGAUCCCUCUCCCGCUGCCCAUUCCCAGCUGGAGCCCUGACUUCAGCCUCACCCCCACCUCCUGUCCUCACGGCCCCGACGAGCCCCCCCCAUCGGAGCAGAUCUUCCACGUGGUGCCACCGCCGUCGGAGCUGGCACAGAGCCUGCGCCCCAACAGGGCAGCCCCCGGCCCCCGGCACCGCGAUUCGGACUACGAGGUGGAGGCACCGGGUCGGGGCCACGUCCGUGCCAUUGACAACCAGUACACACCGCUCUGACGGAGGAGAAUCCCAGAGACCUCCCGGGUAUCCCAUGCAGGGACAGGACGUGCUCCGUUUCUUCCUUCUGGAUAGGGAUGAGUAUUGUAUUUCUGCAAGGAAAGGGGGUUAUUUUCACUCCAGUCCGGGUGUGCUCCCUCUCUUCGGCCUGUUAAAGGGCCCCUUAGUUCUAUUUUCUGGUUGUUAUAAUCAAAGCUUUCCUUGUCACUGUUUACACACGCCUCUCGUGCCUGCGCGCCGGGCAUCGCACCGUCGGGCUCAGCAUCCCGCCCGGGGCCUUGAGUUGCACCCAUUGAAUUGGUUUAAGGCAAAGAGGGAAAUAAGAGGAGGGGUUUGUAAUUCAUCACCAGCUGCUGCUCCGGCGAAGACGAGCCCCAUCCUGCUGCCCCAGCACAUGCCCAGCCUCGGAGCUGAGCUCCUGCACCGGGUGAAGAUGCUGGUCACCAUCAGAGUUAGGGCUUUGGGUUUAGAUAAGGCAAAUCCCUGGCUUUUCUCACCCUUCUAACCCAGAGCAGCUGCAGUGACUCCCUGCACCAGCCACAGGAACUCUUACACCAUGGCCUUGCUAAUUGAGACGUGAACACUAACUGCUCCAUCGUUAAUAUUACCCCUAGGGGGAACUAACGCAGAGACUGAAGGCAAACCCCUCCUGCCGGUGAUGGAGGUGUUUUAUCCUGUGAUAGAGGUCUCUAUCCCAGUGAUGGAGGUGUUUUAUCCUGUGAUAGAGGUCUCUAUCCUGGUGAUGGAGGUGUUUUAUCCUGUGAUAGAGGUCUCUAUCCCGGUGAUGGAGGUGUUUUAUCCUGUGAUAGAGGUCUCUAUCCUGGUGAUGGAGGUGUUUUAUCCUGGUGAUAGAGGUCUCUAUCCCGGUGAUGGAGGUGUUUUAUCCUGUGAUAGAGGUCUCUAUCCUGGUGAUGGAGGUGUUUUAUCCUGUGAUAGAGGUCUCUAUCCUGGUGAUGGAGGUGUUUUAUCCUGGUGAUAGAGGUCUCUAUCCCGGUGAUGGAGGUGUUUUAUCCUGGUGAUAGAGGUCUCUAUCCUGGUGAUGGAGGUGUUUUAUCCUGGUGAUAGAGGUCUCUAUCCCAGUGAUGGAGGUGUUUUAUCCUGGUGGUAGAGGUCUCUAUCCCGGUGAUGGAGGUGUUUUAUCCUGUGAUAGAGGUCUCUAUCCCGGUGAUGGAGGUGUUUUAUCCUGUGAUAGAGGUCUCUAUCCUGGUGAUGGAGGUGUUUUAUCCUGUGAUAGAGGUCUCUAUCCCAGUGAUGGAGGUGUUUUAUCCUGGUGAUAGAGGUCUCUAUCCCAGUGAUGGAGGUGUUUUAUCCUGUGAUAGAGGUCUCUAUCCCGGUGAUGGAGGUGUUUUAUCCCAGUGUUGGAGGCAUUUUAUCCCCAUGAUGGAACCAUUUUAGGCACAAAUCUAAAGUGAGUUUUUCCCCAGAAACAUUCUGUACCUCUCCAUCACUCACCCUGCUCUCAUUUGCCUUUUAUUUCCCCCUCAAAUCACUGCACAACCGAGAUUUGGUGGUAUUUAAAGCUAUGGAAUGGCCUCCUGCAGGUGAGGAGGGGUCCCUAUGGUUCCCUCUUCCCUGCCUGGAGGAAGAGCAUCUCCCAGGCAGCCCCUGAUAGCAGAAGAGCUCUGUUUGCUUGCACAGGUUGCACACCAAGCAAGGCAUAGGCGCUGCCGUGACUCCAAUUGGAAUGACCAUGAGUUAAUCCCCAAGGCUCCAUGUGCCCUAUCCCAGAUGAAGGCACCAGCACAGGAGAGCAUCACCAGAGCUGGGAGCACGGCCACAUCCCAGCCUCCAUGGCUCUUCCAGGCUCUACCUGCCGGUGCCGUGCCGGGAGAGGAACCUCUGCUUGGAAGCUGCUGUUAUAUUAAGAAUGAGGAAGGGCUGGAGCUGUUGCGACAUGCGGGAGGGGAUGCUUCCACUUCCAGAUUUCUCAGGGCUCCCUGGGAUUUCGGAUGCAAAAAUCGCCUUCAAAUUGCCUCACAGGAAAGCCUCUUUAUUUUUACCUUCCUUGACUUCGCCACGGACGCAGGAUCCCACAGGAGCAUUCCCAGAUUGGGAUUCAUUGGAGAGCAAGGAAACAAGAAGGAAAAGCUUCUUGGGGCUGAGUUUAGGGAGCUCUGCAGAGACCCAGCCUCUAGGAAGCCUGGUUGGGAAGCAAAGCCCAAGGAGCCGAGCUCUGCCCAAGGCUGGGAGCUGAAGGCAAGUUCUGGGCUGGGAAGGGCAGAGCUGGUGCAGGCAGGAGGAGGGAUGGGGCAGAGUAAAUCCGGGUCUAUCAGCAGUAAUCAGAGGCUGAGGGCUGGGAGGAACAGGAUACCCUCAACUUUGUGCUUCCCCAUCCCCUGCCCCUGCGCUUUCCCAGUUGUCUUCAUGCAUUUGGAGCAGGUGAAGCCUUUUCUGUGUUCAAAACAACUCGAAAAUGGGGGCAAGGCAAUGAAGGCUGCUGCGUUCUGGUGCUGUCAGCUGAAACCGGAGCGUGAAGAGCCAAUGGCACCUCCAGCACUGCCAAACCCGGAUUGCUGCCCGAGGAACAAAGCCGGCCCUGUCCUCAGCUGGAGCUCCUCAGCCGCAUCCGCAUCCCGUUCCCCUCCCCGCACCGGCACAAAGGCUGCAGGAGCACAGAGCCAGGGCUGGUUUGUGCCAGGGAAGUCAGCGCCCUGCAAUGCACAUAAAGAACCCGCAGUGGUCCUGCAUUUCCAGGGAUGGAGAGGAAGAUGUCAGCUCCUUCCCAUGCUCGGUGCAUGGCUCCCGGAGCGCACACUGGGAUAACACUCGCAGAUUGCUGCAGCCCAAGAGCUGCCCUUCAGGCAGCUGCAGUCAAAGGGGGUCUUUCCCCAAGAGAUGAGGUGCUCUCACCCCGAUCCCCCUCUGCUCAGAGCAUCUGCAAGGAAGAACGGGCUGGGAAAAGGGAAUGCUAUUCACAGCCGGCACAGCCCUUGCCAAGAGAAAUCAGAUGCUGCUGCUGCUGGGAUGGGUUGUUUUGGCAUGCUGGGGCUUAUUGUUCCGGUGCCAACAACGAAACAUGCACUUGCAUGAGGUAUUUGUAACCUGCAGUGUAAUUGCAAGGGGGUUCUCUGUAGUUCCAAUGGAAACUGCUGUUCUUAAUGAGCAGAAUACACAUUGGGUUCGUUAUCACCCCAUCAGCCACAUCCCCAGUGCGGACCAACUCCAGUGGAUGUGUGUGCCUGUUCUCCACACCAGCAAGCAAUGGGAAAGGUGCUCUGGUGAUUUAAUAGAGUUGUUUCCAUCCCAAACCUCCCCAAUGAGGUAGCUAUUGGCCCUCCAGCCACCAUAGACCUCUGCUCUGGCACAGUUCAGACCUCCUGCAGUCAGAUCCCAGCGGCACCGGGAUCCAAGGGGAUUUGGGGGCUGGUUCCCCAGCUCCUGGAGGAGUUUGAAAUCCCAUUUCUCCUAGAAAGCAUCUGGCCUGUGAGCCAGGUUGGAGCCUGCUGUGCAGCCCCACUUCUGCUCCUGCCAGCAUCCUCUUCAUGAGCAGUGGGCUAAGCAUUAACCCAUUGUGUUCUAUGGAAUGUAAGCAACUUGAAGGAAUUUUUAUGUCUUUUUAGGAACUUGGGAAAAGCCAUGGGCUUGGCAGGUUUAGUUCCCUGGCCCACAGGGGCUUUAUUGGCACUUAGGAAGUAUCAGCAUUGAAUUUAAGAGGGGAAGCCCCUGCACGAGUGUGCUGCAGGUACGGCCGCUUCCUGAUCUCCCAUGGAGGACAAGGAACAUUUCCUAGAGCUGGAUUAAAGCUGGAUGUGACCACCAGCCUGUGCCUUGGCCCUGCAAUGGGCACAUACAACACAAGUGUGGAUCCAGCAUAACAAAGCCAUGACCCAGCCGGCAGCGACCCCCAGGU